GAGAAUUGCAAUUGCUCGGGUAGUAUUGAAGAAUGCGCCUAUCCUCUUGUUGGACGAGGCAAGUUCCUCAAUCGAAUCUGAGUCGAGUCGGGUCGUACAAGAGGCUCUUGACACUUUGAUCAUGGGAAAUAAAACCACCAUCCUGAUUGCCCAUAGAGCUGCAAUGAUGAGACACGUUGACAAUAUUGUGGUACUAAAUGGAGGGCGAAUAGUGGAGGAGGGUACCCACGAUUCCUUGGUGGCCAAGAACGGCCUAUAUGUCCGCUUGAUGCAGCCGCAUUUCGGUAAGGGUUUGCGACAGCAUCGACUUGUUUAAGAUAUGGAAUCUGAUUGUUUGAAACACUACAAGUUUUGGUCUGCCUUCAUUAGCUCCCUCUGGCCUGUUUGAGUUUCUGAUGAUAAAG
rnacentral:misc_RNA from 1 species